GAACGCGAAGAACCUUACCCGGGCUUGAAUUGCAGAGGAAGGAUUUAGAGAUAAUGACGCCCUUCGGGGUCUCUGUGAAGGUGCUGCAUGGUUGUCGUCAGCUCGUGCCGUGAGGUGUCGGCUUAAGUGCCAUAACGAGCGCAACCCCUCUCUUCAGUUGCCAUCAGGUUAAGCUGGGCACUCUGGAGACACUGCCACCGUAAGGUGUGAGGAAGGUGGGGAUGACGUCAAAUCAGCACGGCCCUUACGUCCGGGGCUACACACGUGUUACAAUGGCCGGUACAGAGGGACGGUGUAAUGUAAAUUGCAUCCAAUCUUGAAAGCCGGUCCCAGUUCGGACUGGGGUCUGCAACCCGACCCCACGAAGCUGGAUUCGCUAGUAAUCGCGCAUCAGCCAUGGCGCGGUGAAUACGUUCCCGGGUCUUGUACACACC
rnacentral:rRNA from 1 species